GAUGAACGCUGGCGGCGCGCCUAACACAUGCAAGUCGAACGAUUAAAGCACCUUCGGGUGUGUAUAAAGUGGCGAACGGCUGAGUAACACGUGGGCAACCUGCCCCUCUCAUUGGGAUAGCCACGGGAAACCGUGGAUAAUACCGAAUACUUCGGGACUUCCGCAUGGAAGACUCGAGAAAGCUCCGGCGGAGAGGGAUGGGCCCGCGGCCUGUUAGCUUGUUGGUGGGGUAAUGGCCUACCAAGGCAAUGAUGGGUAGCUGGGUUGAGAGACCGACCAGCCAGAUUGGGACUGAGACACGGCCCAGACUCCUACGGGAGGCAGCAGUGGGGAAUCUUGCACAAUGGGCGAAAGCCUGAUGCAGCGACGCCGCGUGCGGGAUGAAGGCUUUCGGGUUGUAAACCGCUUUCAGCAGGGACGAGGCGAAAGUGACGGUACCUGCAGAAGAAGCCCCGGCUAACUACGUG
rnacentral:rRNA from 1 species